rfam:Rhodococcus fascians strain 1168 contig482, whole genome shotgun sequence.
AUGCUCAUGCAUGCAGUCGGUUCGCCCGCGGCCAAGAGGAGCCCCGAAGUCCGCAACGGCGACGCAAGAGGGAACCCGGUGAGAAUCCGGGAUUGUCCCGCAGCGGUAUGCAGGAACGACCGCCGUCCAUCAAGCACUGGAGAAGCCUCUCUGGGAAGCGACGGCCACUAGGAGUGAUCUCGAGAUCUCGUAAGAAGAUCGCGCGCCUGCGAGUCCGAAUACCUGCCUUCUGUGCUGCGCACGC